rnacentral:rRNA from 1 species
UGGGGAAUAUUGCGCAAUGGGGGGAACCCUGACGCAGCAACGCCGCGUGAAGGAAGAAGUAUUUCGGUAUGUAAACUUCUAUCGACAGGGAAGAAAUAAAUGACGGUACCUGAGUAAGAAGCCCUGGCUAAUUACGUGCCAGCAGCCGCGGUAAUACGUAAGGGGCAAGCGUUAUCCGGAUUUACUGGGUGUAAAGGGUGAGUAGGCGGUCUGGCAAGUCAUAUGUGAAAAACUGAGGCUUAACCACAGAGGUGCAUAAGAAACUGUCGGACUAGAGUGCAGGAGAGGCAAGCGGAAUUCCAAGUGUAGCGGUGAAAUGCGUAGAUAUUUGGAAGAACACCGGUGGCGAAGGCGGCUUGCUGGACUGAAACUGACGCUGAGUCACGAAAGCGUGGGGAGCGAACAGG